GGUCCCGUAGCUCAGCUGGUUAGAGCGUCGUACUAAUAAUUCCUCAUUGGGAAUCAUUAGUAAUGCGAAGGUCGCGAGUUCGAUCCUCUCCGGGACCA
rnacentral:tRNA from 1 species